GCUCCCUUCGUCUAUCGGUUAGGACGCCAGAUUUUCAAUCUGGAAAGACGGGUUCGACUCCCGUAGGGAGCGCCA
rnacentral:tRNA from 3 species